rnacentral:rRNA from 1 species
GGUCAAGUUGUCAAGGGCGAACGGUGGAUGCCUUGGCACCAGGAGCCGAUGAAGGACGUGGGAGGCCGCGAUAGGCCUGGGGGAGCUGUCAACCAAGCUGUGAUCCCAGGGUGUCCGAAUGGGGAAACCCGGCACCAGUCAUGUGGUGUCACCUGCACCUGAACACAUAGGGUGUAUGGAGGGAACGCGGGGAAGUGAAACAUCUCAGUACCCGUAGGAAGAGAAAACAAAUAGUGAUUCCGUGAGUAGUGGCGAGCGAAAGCGGAUUGAGGCUAAACCGGCUGCGUGUGAUACCUGUCAGGGGUUGCGUGGUCGGGGUUGUGGGACCCUGCUACACGAGCUGACACUCGUGUGAGAAGUUAUCAAGUCAGUGGCUAGUCGAACAGUCUGGAAUGGCUGACCGUAGACGGUGAGAGUCCGGUAGGUGAAAGUUGCUGACCUUCUGUGGGUGUUCCCGAGUAGCGGCGGACCCCUGAAAUCUGCCGUGAAUCUGCCAGGACCACCUGGUAAGCCUAAAUACUUCCUGGUGACCGAUAGCGGACGAGUACCGUGAGGGAAUGGUGAAAAGUACCCCGGGAGGGGAGUGAAAUAGUACCUGAAACCGUUCGCCUACAAUCCGUCGGAGCCUUGCGGGGUGACGGCGUGCCUUUUGAAGAAUGAGCCUGCGAGUUAGUGGCACGUGGCGAGGUUAACCCGUGUGGGGGAGCCGUAGCGAAAGCGAGUCUGAAUAGGGCGAUUCAGUCGCGUGUCCUAGACCCGAAGCGGAGUGAUCUAGCCAUGGGCAGGCUGAAGCGCGGGUAAGACCGCGUGGAGGGCCGAACCCACCAACGUUGAAAAGUUGGGGGAUGACCUGUGGUUAGGGGUGAAAGGCCAAUCAAACUCCGUGAUAGCUGGUUCUCCCCGAAAUGCAUUUAGGUGCAGCGUCGCGUGUUUCUUGCCGGAGGUAGAGCACUGGAUGGUCUAGGGGGCCCACAAGCUUACCGAAAUCAGCCAAACUCCGAAUGCCGGUAAGUGAGAGCGCGGCAGUGAGACUGCGGGGGAUAAGCUUCGUAGUCGAGAGGGAAACAGCCCAGAUCACCAGCUAAGGCCCCUAAGCGUGUGCUAAGUGGAAAAGGAUGUGGGGUCGCAUAGACAACCAGGAGGUUGGCUUAGAAGCAGCCACCCUUUAAAGAGUGCGUAAUAGCUCACUGGUCAAGUGGUCCCGCGCCGACAAUGUAGCGGGGCUCAAGCACACCGCCGAAGCUGUGGCAUUCACAUUUCAACCUCGCGGCGCCUUGAUGUGCCGUGCAGGUGUGUGGAUGGGUAGGGGAGCGUCGUGCCGGGGGUGAAGCAGCGGGGUGACCCAGCUGUGGACGCGGCACGAGUGAGAAUGCAGGCAUGAGUAGCGAAAGAAGGGUGAGAAACCCUUCCGCCGGAUGACCAAGGGUUCCAGGGCCAGGCUAAUCCGCCCUGG